rnacentral:rRNA from 1 species
GAGAGGAGCUUGCUCUUCUUGGAUGAGUUGCGAACGGGUGAGUAACGCGUAGGUAACCUGCCUUGUAGCGGGGGAUAACUAUUGGAAACGAUAGCUAAUACCGCAUAACAAUGGGUGACACAUGUCAUUUAUUUGAAAGGGGCAAUUGCUCCACUACAAGAUGGACCUGCGUUGUAUUAGCUAGUAGGUGAGGUAACGGCUCACCUAGGCGACAAUACAUAGCCGACCUGAGAGGGUGAUCGGCCACACUGGGACUGAGACACGGCCCAGACUCCUACGGGAGGCAGCAGUAGGGAAUCUUCGGCAAUGGGGGCAACCCUGACCGAGCAACGCCGCGUGAGUGAAGAAGGUUUUCGGAUCGUAAAGCUCUGUUGUAAGUCAAGAACGAGUGUGAGAGUGGAAAGUUCACACUGUGACGGUAGCUUACCAGAAAGGGACGGCUAACUACGUGCCAGCAGCCGCGGUAAUACGUAGGUCUCGAGCGUUGUCCGGAUUUAUUGGGCGUAAAGCGAGCGCAGGCGGUUUGAUAAGUCUGAAGUUAAAGGCUGUGGCUCAACCAUAGUUCGCUUUGGAAACUGUCAAACUUGAGUGCAGAAGGGGAGAGUGGAAUUCCAUGUGUAGCGGUGAAAUGCGUAGAUAUAUGGAGGAACACCGGUGGCGAAAGCGGCUCUCUGGUCUGUAACUGACGCUGAGGCUCGAAAGCGUGGGGAGCGAACAGGAUUAGAUACCCUGGUAGUCCACGCCGUAAACGAUGAGUGCUAGGUGUUGGAUCCUUUCNCGGGAUUCAGUGCCGCAGCUAACGCAUUAAGCACUCCGCCUGGG